UAAGGAAUAUUGGUCAAUGGAGGCAACUCUGAACCAGCCAUGCCGCGUGCAGGAAGAAGGCCCUAUGGGUCGUAAACUGCUUUUGAACAAGAGAAAACCCCGGUACGUGUACUGGGUUGAUAGUAUUGUUAGAAUAAGCAUCGGCUAACUUCGUGCCAGCAGCCGCGGUAAGACGAAGGAUGCAAGCGUUAUCCGGAUUCAUUGGGUUUAAAGGGUGCGUAGGCGGACUGAUAAGUCAGUGGUGAAAUCUCUCGGCUUAACCGAGAAACUGCCAUUGAUACUGUUAGUCUAGAGUACAGAUGAUGUGGGCGGAAUAUGACAUGUAGUGGUGAAAUACUUAGAUAUGUCAUAGAACACCGAUUGCGAAGGCAGCUCACAAAACUGUAACUGACGCUGAGGCACGAAAGUGUGGGGAUCAAACAGGAUUAGAUACCCCUGUAGUCCCUGAGCGGGCUGGCAAGGCGCAU
rnacentral:rRNA from 1 species